CUUGACAAAACAAAAGAGAGAAAGCAUAGAGUGGUAGCUAAGUGGGAGAGACUUGUUCUCCGGUGAUAUUCUUGGUGGCCUCUAACUGAUUCCUUUCUCGAUAUAUCCAUUGCCAUUUCCAUAGCCGAUGGUGCAUUGAUCCUGUGAAGCACAAAUCUGAUAUCAACAUCGUAAAACACAUUGGUGCUGAGGUUAAAGAAGAUUUAAGUCAGUCGGAAAUUUGUGAAAAAAAAAAGCUGGCUGGAACAUGACCUGGAAUGAAGCAGGAAACGGGAACAUAUUUUGCAAAACUGCCAGAACAAACCAAUGGACGGUUUUCUGGAGGGCAAAUUCGUGAUUUGCAGACCAAGGUGCAGCUGGGUGGUAGGCGCAUGAUGGCAACAACAAUGCAUGUAGUGGAGCAUUGAGCCCGUGCGCACAACUGUGAUGAGAGACGUGUGGCAAAAUCCAGUGAUGGUGAAAACAGACAGUUUGCUGAUUGUGGAUUUUUGACCUCCUGGUGGUGUUGGUUUUCUAUUUGGUGUACUGUGAAUGUAGACAUAGCCUCGGACAAAAAGAUGUAGUGGAGAAAGCCUUUUCGUUGGUGACCAAUCGUGGUUCCUAUGGUUGCCGUAGUCAUUGGAUGAUUUAGGAAAGCUUGUGGUGGCCUUAAAUUUGCAAAAGACUCAUAUCUCUCCUUAAAAUACGAACCAACAAAUUGGUUCGCUUGGUUUUCGCGUUCUAACACCCUCUCGAAUUUACAAUUGUGAUAUUGUGAUUUUUGCAACCAUACAAUUUGUAAUAUUUGACUCUUGCGAUAUUGUCAAUAUGUUACUUGUGAUAUUAUCAUUUGUAUCUUCUUGAAAAGUAAUUUAUAUAAAAAUUAGUUUGAA